rnacentral:rRNA from 1 species
AAUCUGCCUUUAGGACGGGGACAACAGUUGGAAACGGCUGCUAAAACCCGAUGUGCCCUUCGGGGUGAAAUAUUUAUAGCCUGAAGAUGAGCUCGCGUCUGAUUAGCUAGUAGGUGAGGUAAAGGCUCACCUAGGCGACGAUCAGUAACUGGUCUGAGAGGAUGACCAGUCACACUGGGACUGAAACACGGCCCAGACUCCUACGGGAGGCAGCAGUGGGGAAUUUUCCGCAAUGGGCGCAAGCCUGACGGAGCAAUACCGCGUGAGG